AAUGAUUAUGGCAUUUUCUUUGGGAUAUGUUAUUGUUACUUUUAUUGUCAUGAUUGUUAAGUUGUUUGUGAGUCUCUAUUUGUUCAGUUGCAUUUCUUUGGCAUACUUUAUCACACCCAUGAUAGAUUGUAAAAAUAAGGAAUAUCAUGGAGUAGUUCCCAUUGUGACUUAGUGGGUUAAGAACCUGACAUAGUGUCUAUGAGGAUGUGGGGUUGAUCCCUGGCCUCAUUGCUCAGUGAGUUAAGGAUCCAGUGUUGCCCCAGAUAGUAGUGUAGGCCAUAAGCUACAGCUUCAGUUUGACCCCUCACCUGGGAACUUCCAUAUGCCACAUGUGUGGCCAUGAAAAUGAAAAAAGAAAAAAAGGGGGAAAAAAGGGAUAUCAUAAAAACAGCAAGUCAACAUGAAAGUAGGCUGUCUUUUAAGGACCUCCACUUAACUGACCUACUGAUGCAUUAACUCUUGCGACAAGGUGGCUACCCUGUUAUGCUUGAGGAUUUUGUUUUCAGAACUUUUUUUUUUAAUGGCCUCAACUCAGUAUACAGAAGUUCUGGACCAGUGAUUGAACCCAAUUGAUUCUGCAGCUGAGACAACACCAGAUUCUUUAACCCACUGUGCUAGGCAGGCGAUCGAACCUGCACCUCUAUGGCAACCUGAAGCAGUUCAAGCCUUUAAUUGAAAGUUGACAGAUACAACAAAGGAAUAAAGAGUCUCAUCCAAUAUAAGAGUCUGGUAUCUAAAUGAUAACAAAAUUAAGUCAGAAAUGACAAGCUGCUGGAUUUUUCUGUUGUCUUUUUUUUUUUCUUUUUGGUAAUCUGAGGUCUUAGAUUUUAACAUUAAAUCAGUUUAUCCAGAAAUUGUACAUAAAAAUGGACUGGGAUGAAUUCAAGACAGUAAGGAUAGUAUUUUCAAACAGUAUUUUUAGAUAAAUCUAAUCAUGCCUUUCAGCAUUCAAAACCUAAGCCCCACCACACAAAGCUGUACCACUAUAAACAAAGGUCCACAGCCUAAGAGAGAUAGAGGGAAUGAAUACUCUUUGAAAGUUCUUUCUAGCUAGAAAAUAAAUACGGCCAAACAAUGGAGCACGGUUGUGGUAUUUUUCAGACAGGAGCUAAGUUCAGUAUGUUGUGUUGCUAGUACAGCUUAGUCUGCAAAUGUUCUAGUUCUCAGCAGGGUGUGGGGAGGAGCCCCAGUUUACUUUACCUGUAACCAUAAAUACUGGAGGAAGAUGAAGUUUAAAAGGUUUUUUUUUUUUUCAUUCUAAGGUUUACUUUUGGGUUUCUAAGGACUCCACGCCCCUCAGGAAGUCGAGGCAAACCAUGCAUUUGUUUUCACUACUAUAAAGUUACAAUAACUAACUUUGAUUGGUUUUAGAAACACAUCGAAAAAGGUUGUCUUUGUCAGCAAGCUAUUAAAAAUAGACUGUCGAUUAACCCCUGCUCAAGGUCUGAUGUUUAACUUCUUGAAGUAAACAUUUGCAGGUCACAGCAGUCAUUCAGUAGUUUUUACAUAAAAUUCUCUUCAGGUGAAGAGGUAAAAGCAUUAAUGGUAAACCACACGUCUGACGGAAUUAAGUGUAUUAGUUCCCCGUGUUUAAGAGUUGAAAGUGAAUUGAACUUGCGAAUGAAAUGUCUCUUAGAUUCUAAGCUGUAAAUUCAUAAAAAUUUCAAGAAAAUACUUAUAAUUUCACAAUUUCAAUAUGAAACCAUAAUUUCUGAAAUUAAAAAGUUUGCAGCAGAAAACUAUAAAAUCUUUACCAAGUUUUAAAAAGCAUUUUAAGUGUGUGUAUUAAGUUUCUAGGACAUGGUAGGAAUCUGGUAGCUGCUAGAUUUCUGGAAAUAAUUACCUGCAAGGAGAUUAUUAACACCUCUCAACUAGUUAGUGGCUCAGAUCUAUGCUAUUGUUUGUUGGUAAAGGGGCUAUUCAUUCAUAAAGCUGGACCCACCCAACCAAACAAAGAGACUUUUGGUGGCUAUUCAGGUGGACUCCAGGCCAAUACAAGGGACUGCUCAUUUCCUCAGGACUGAGCUUUUGAUCAGUGCUGUGUGGCCAAGCUAAAAAUUUUGAUGGGAUUUUAAACAAGGCUUUUGUGGUAUUUCGGAAGUCGCCAUCAAAUAUCCUCCACUAAGGAAGCAAAGUAACCCGAUAUAAAUGGAGUCAGACAAAUUUAUUAAGGAAAUUCCCCUCUGUUACUACAAAGUGCAUAGAAUUCUUUGGCAUCUGUCAAGGCUGAUGAAUAUUUUACAAAUAAAUUAUUCACUUUAGCAAAUCUGAGGAUGAGGGGAUGGGUCGUCUUGUCCUUUUUUUGGGGGGGGCCCCGCACCCGCUGCACAUGGAGGUUCCCAGGCUAGGGGUCAAAUGGGAGCUGUAGCCGCAGGCCUACACCACAGCCAUAACAACUUGGGAUCAGAGCCUCAUCUGUGACCUACACCACAGCUCAUGGCUACACGGGACCCUUAACCCACUGAAUGAGGCCAGGGAUUGAACCCGCAUCCUCAUGGAUACUGGUCAGAUUUAUUAACCACCGAGCCAGGAUGGGAACUCCAGGAUGGGUACUUCAGGAUGAGUCUUAUUUACAACUCUUGAGUUUUAGUAACUAAAAUGAGAUUCAGUUUGCAAGGUGCUGGGUUCACAGAAAACAGGCUGACAAAUCUCCCAUUACUCUGGACUUUUUACUCUGUGGAAACUAAACAUCUUUCUACAGUAUAUUUUUACAAAUUUAAAUUAGUGUUUUGAGGGAAAUGGGGUACUAAGAAGAAAAUAACAGAUGGGAACUAAUUACACAGAGUGGUCAGAGAAGACCUCUUUGAGUUGGGGACUUUUUUUCCUUCUAUUUUUUUAAUCGAAGUAUAAUCGAUGUAUAAUAUUAUGUAAGUUACAGGUGUACUAUAUAGUGGUUCACAAUUUUAAAAGUUAUACUCCAUAUAUAGUUAUUAUAAAAUAUUGGCUAUAUUUCUGUGUCAUACAAUCCUUUUAGCUUAUUUUCUACAUAAGAGUUUUGACUCCUAAUCCCCUUCUCUUCUAUUGCCCUCCUCCCUUCCCUCUCCCCACUGAUAACCACUAGUUUGUUCUCUGUAUCUGUGAGUCUGCUUCUUUUUUGUUAUAUCUACUAGUUUGUUGUAUUUAGAUUCCACAUAUGUGAUACCAUAUAGUAUUUGUCUUCCUCUUGUCUGAUUUAUUUCACUUAGCAUAAUACCCUUCAAGUCUAUCUAUGUUGCUGCAAAUGCCAAAAUUCCAUUCUUCUUUACAGCUGAGUAUUAUUCCAUUGUGUAUAUAUACCACAUCUUCUUUAUCCAUUCAUCGGUUGAUGCUUUGGUUACUUCCAUAUCUGGACAAUUUUAAUAAUGCUGCUAUGAACACUGGGAUGCAUGUAUCUUCUCAAAUUAGUAUUUUUGUAUUUCUCAAAUAUAUACCCAGGAAUGGAAUUGCUGGGUCAUGCGUAGUUUAGUUUUUUGAGGAUCCUCCAUACUGUCUUCCACAGUGGCUGCAUCAACUUACAUUCCCACCAACGCAAGGUUUCUCUUUUCUCCACAUCCUUGCCAACAUUUGUUAUUUGUUUUCUUUUGACGAUAGCCAUUCUGAGUUGGAGACUUUUAACUUGAUACCCAAAUGUUGAGAAGAAGCCAUUCAUUGGAAACCCAAGAGGAACAAUGCAGGCAGAGGCACUGUAGGUGCAAAGGCCCUCCAAGGCAAAAGCCUUGGCACAUUAUAAAAAAAAUCUUGUGGAAAGCAUGUGUGACUAAAGCAUCAGGACCAGCUGCUGUAGGAAGAAUGAAUUGAAGGGUUACAAAAUGGAAGAAUUUCUGAUCAGUUAUGGUAUCAUUUCAGAAGGCCAGGUGGGAGAUAAUAGUAGCUAUGGUGGUGGCCAUUAUGGUCGAUAAACAUGAUCAGAUUCAGGAAAUAUUUUAGAGGUAGAACCCACAGAGCAUAGAGAUGGAUUGGAUGGGUGGGGAUGAAGGAAAGGGAGGAAUCAAGAAAUAGCCCCAGGCUUCUGGUUUUAAUAACUGAAAGACUUUUAGUGCUAUUUAUUAGGAUGAUGAAGUUUGGAGUAGAACGAGAUAUAGGGUGGAAAAUUUUUUAAAAUUCCAUUUUAAACGUAUUAAGUUUGAGUCAUCUAAGCAGUUAGUUGCACAGCUGGAGUUCAAAGAAGAAAGCUGAGGACACAGAAAUUCAAGGUCUAAAACAAAAUGGUCAGUCCAUUUACAGUCAUGGAAAUGGAUGAGUUCCCCAAGAGAAAGUAUGGACAGAGAGGAAAAAAAGAAAGGGCUCUGGAAGGAUUCCAAGGAACUCCAGUGUUGAGGAGGUAGGGUAGAGAGGAUGAGGAGGAGCUGUCAGAAUAGAUCAAGAAGGAGCUACCAUUGGAAUGUGAGCAAUGUCAGCGACUCCGCUGUCCUGACCUGGACGGGGCAUCCCAAGGAAGGAAAAGCUGAGUUGAGUACUGUGCAGGAACCAAGCAUAAUGAGAACAGAAAACUACCAAUCUGGCUAGUACUGUAGAGGCCUUUGGUAAUCUGGCCAAUAGCGUUUCGGUUUAGCUGAAUAAUAAGAACAAGUAUAAACUGGCAGAGGGAAAAUGAGAGAUGAAGGAAGAACCUGUGGAUUCAAAGAGAUUUUUAAAAUAUCUCAACCAGUCCCAAUAUGUGGAACUGAUUUGGAUUCUGAUUUGUGAAGCAAAAGAGCUUAUUUGGAAAACAGAAACACAUUCACAGAUUUCAAAACCAAACUUAUGGUUCCUGUCAGUGAAACCGUUGAGGGGAGGGAAGAACUGGGAGGGUGGAGAUAACAUAUACACACUACUGUAUAAAACAUGAUUGACAGGAACCUACUGUAUAGCACAGGAAAAUCUACUCAAUAGUUUGUAAUAACCUAUAUGGGAAAAAAGAAUGGAUAUAUGUAUAUGUAUGACUGAUACACUUUGCUGUACACCUGAAACAAAUACAACAUUGUAAAUCAAUUAUACUCCAAUAAAACUAACUUAAAAAAAACACCAUUAUACAUUUCUGAAGUUCCCUCGUGGCUCAGCAGAUCAAGGAUCCGGCAUUGUCACUGCUUGCUAUAGCUAUGGUUAUAGCUUUGGUACAGGUUCGAUCCCUGGCCCAGAAACUUCUGCAUGCCCUGGGUGUGGCCAAAAUAAUUAUAUUUCUAAGAUAAUUGGAAAUUUGAGUGCUGUGGCUAGAUAAGUGGGAUAUUAAGAAAUGAUGUUAUAACGGUAUUGCAGGUUUUUUUUUUUUUGGCUGUCCC
rnacentral:lncRNA from 1 species